rnacentral:lncRNA from 1 species
CCCUUGGCCAUCUAUUUCUGUCAUUGCUGAAAUGGAAGCAGAGGAGAUCAAACGCACUGAACAACUAUGGCCAGAGAGUGGACAUGGACCAUUGCACAGGGAAUCAACGUGCAAAACUUUACCGGAUGUUUUUGGAGGAUGAAUAUAAAGCAGGAAGUCGAAGAGUUGAAGAGCAUGGGUAGCAUUGAAACUGUGAGCUUUGGAGCCAUGAAGGAAUGUUAUUUACUUCAGAAACCACACUGUUAGCUUCUGAGGUAAACAAUAUUUACUCAGUCAUUAGACCGAAAAUGCAAUUGAUGCCUUUUAAUUCUGUAAUCACCUAUAAACAAAGCAAAGAAUACUUAACUGUGGUUACAGAAUAAUGUUUUCAACCUUGAUAAUGUGAAGUGUGG